GCGCGAAAACUUUACAAUGCGGGACACCGCGAUAAGGGGACCCCGAGUGCCAGCACCUAGUGCUGGCUGUCCAGCUGUUCAAAAAACAGUUGUUAGCAAGGGCCGGGCAAGACCGGUGCCAGCCGCCGCGGUAACACCGGCGGCCCGAGUGGUAGCCGUUAUUAUUGGGUUUAAAGGGUCCGUAGCCGGCCUAUUAAGUCUCUUGGGAAAUCUGGCGACUCAAUCGUCAGGCGUUCAAGAGAUACUGGUAGGCUUGGGACCGGGAGAGGUGGGAGGUACUCCAGGGGUAGGGUGAAAUCUCGUAAUCCUUGGGGGACCACCGAUGGCGAAGGCAUCCCACCAGAACGGGUCCGACGGUGAGGGACGAAAGCUGGGGGCACGAACCGGAUUAGAUACCCGGGUAGUCCCAGCUGUAAACGAUGCUCGCUAGGUGUCAGGUGCGGUGCGACCGCAUCUGGUGCCGUAGAGAAAUCGUGAAACGUGCCGCCUGGGAAGUACGGUCGCAAGGCUAGAAACUUAAAGGAAUUGGCGGGGGAGCACCACAACAGGUGG
rnacentral:rRNA from 1 species